GCCUCAGUAGCUCAGUUGGCAGAGCAUUUGCUUCGUAAGCAAAAGGUCCUGGGUUCAAGGCCCAGCUGAGGCU
rnacentral:tRNA from 1 species